GACGAACCGGACAAACGUUAUUCGGAAUUACUGGGCUUAAAGGGUUUGUAGGCGGCCUUGUAAGUCAGGUGUGAAAUCCCUCGGCUCAACCGAGGAAUGGCGCUUGAUACUGCAAGGCUUGAGGGAGACAGGGGUAAGCGGAACUGAUGGUGGAGCGGUGAAAUGCGUUGAUAUCAUCAGGAACACCGGUGGCGAAAGCGGCUUACUGGGUCUUUUCUGACGCUGAGGAACGAAAGCUAGGGGAGCGAACGGG
rnacentral:rRNA from 1 species